CCUACGGGUGGCUGCAGUCGAGAAUCAUUCACAAUGGGGGAAACCCUGAUGGUGCAACGCCGCGUGGAGGAUGAAGGCCCUCGGGUCGUAAACUCCUGUCAUCGGAGAGUAAGCUUUGGUCGUUAAUAGCUUCCAAAGUUGAUAGUAUCCGAAGAGGAAGGGACGGCUAACUUCGUGCCAGCAGCCGCGGUAAUACGAAGGUCCCAAGCGUUGUUCGGAAUCACUGGGCGUAAAGAGUAUGUAGGCGGUAUGGAAAGUCAGAUGUGAAAUCUUAGGGCUCAACCCUGAAACUGCAUCCGAUACUCCCGUACUAGAGUAAUGGAGGGGUGACUGGAAUUCUCGGUGUAGCAGUGAAAUGCGUAGAUAUCGAGAGGAACACUCGUGGCGAAGGCGAGUCACUGGACAUUUACUGACGCUGAGAUACGAAGGCCAGGGUAGCG
rnacentral:rRNA from 1 species